ensembl:miRNA Mir710 microRNA 710
CUCUCUCGUCAAAUAGAAGCCAAGUCUUGGGGAGAGUUGAGCUUGGUGUGAAAACUGACAUACCCCUUCAACUCUUUAGAACUUAGGUAUCUGAAGUGGAGUGGAUGGAG